UGCAAGUCGAACGGAGCUUAGAGAGCUUGCUUUUUAAGCUUAGUGGCGAACGGGUGAGUAACGCGUGAGUAACCUGCCCUAGAGUGGGGGACAACAGUUGGAAACGACUGCUAAUACCGCAUAAGCCCACGGUACCGCAUGGUACUGAGGGAAAAGGAUUUAUUCGCUUUAGGAUGGACUCGCGUCCAAUUAGCUAGUUGGUGAGGUAACGGCCCACCAAGGCGACGAUUGGUAGCCGGACUGAGAGGUUGAACGGCCACAUUGGGACUGAGACACGGCCCAGACUCCUACGGGAGGCAGCAGUGGGGGAUAUUGCACAAUGGGGGAAACCCUGAUGCAGCGACGCCGCGUGGAGGAAGAAGGUUUUCGGAUUGUAAACUCCUGUCGUUAGGGACGAUAAUGACGGUACCUAACAAGAAAGCACCGGCUAACUACGUGCCAGCAGCCGCGGUAAAACGUAGGGUGCAAGCGUUGUCCGGAAUUACUGGGUGUAAAGGGAGCGCAGGCGGGAAGACAAGUUGGAAGUGAAAACCAUGGGCUCAAUCCAUGAAUUGCUUUCAAAACUGUUUUUCUUGAGUAGUGCAGAGGUAGAUGGAAUUCCCGGUGUAGCGGUGGAAUGCGUAGAUAUCGGGAGGAACACCAGUGGCGAAGGCGGUCUACUGGGCACCAACUGACGCUGAGGCUCGAAAGCAUGGGUAGCAAACAGGAUUAGAUACCCUGGUAGUCCAUGCCGUAAACGAUGAUUACUAGGUGUUGGGGGAUUGACCCCCUCAGUGCCGCAGUUAACACAAUAAGUAAUCCACCUGGGGAGUACGACCGCAAGGUUGAAACUCAAAGGAAUUGACGGGGGCCCGCACAA
rnacentral:rRNA from 1 species